GCUGCAGAUCAUCCUGAGGCCAGGAAGCCUGGCAUGGUAAGGGCUGCAGAUCAUCCUGAAGCCAGGAAGCCUGGCAUGGUAAGGGCUGCAGAUCAUCCUGAAGCCAGGAAGCCUGGCAUGGUAAGGGCUGCAGGUCAUCCUGAAGCCAGGAAGCCUGGCAUGGUAAGGGCUGCAGAUCAUCCUGAAGCCAGGAAGCCUGGCAUGGUAAGGGGUGCAGAUCAUCCUGAAGCCAGGAAG